UGCCGAGCUUCUGUCUAGAUG
rnacentral:miRNA from 1 species